rnacentral:rRNA from 1 species
AUUGAACGCUGGCGGAAUGCUUUACACAUGCAAGUCGAGCGGCAGCGCGGGGCAACCUGGCGGCGAGCGGCGAACGGGUGAGUAAUACAUCGGAACGUGCCCAGACGUGGGGGAUAACUACUCGAAAGAGUGGCUAAUACCGCAUACGAUCUAAGGAUGAAAGCCGGGGACCGCAAGGCCUGGCGCUAAUAGAUGAGCCCAAGUCGGAUUAGCUAGUUGGUAGGGUAAUGGCCUACCAAGGCGACGAUCCGUAGCUGGUCUGAGAGGACGACCAGCCACACUGGGACUGAGACACGGCCCAGACUCCUACGGGAGGCAGCAGUGGGGAAUUUUGUGCAAUGGGGGAAACCCUGACACAGCGACACCGCGUGAACGAAGAAGCCCUUUGGGGUGUAAAGUUCUGUCGGCUGGAACGAAAAAAUAGACGGUACCAGCAAAGGAAGCAUCGGCUAACUACGUGCCAGCAGCCGCGGU